AUUGAACGCUGGCGGCAGGCCUAACACAUGCAAGUCGAGCGGGUGGCGGACGGAUUAGUAAUGAAUGGGACUCUGCCUGGUGGAGAGGGUCAAGUACUGGGAACUGUUGCUGAUACCGCACAGAUUAGGAUGGGCCCAGGUGGGAUUAGUUUGGGGGGGGGGUAACGGCUCACCAGGGCGACGAUCCCUACCUGGUCUGAGAGGAUGACCAGCCAAACUGGAACUGAGACACGGUCCAGACUCCUACGGGAGGCAGCAGUGGGGAAUAUUGCACAAUGGGCGCAAGCCUGAUGCAGCCAUGCCGCGUGUAUGAAGAAGGCCUUCGGGUUGUAAAGUACUUUCAGCGGGGAGGCGUUACCCGCAGAAGAAGCACCGGCUAACUCCGUGCCAGCAGCCGCGGUAAUAC
rnacentral:rRNA from 1 species